GUGCAGAGACUAAGAUGUGGCAGGAAGAUGGUUCUAAUUCCUUAUCCAUUGCUAAGCGAAGAAGUAAGAUCAAUAAGUUUUAACCCUCGAACAUGGCUUUUUUUGUUAAAUUCUUAAGUGAAAUUUUGGUCUGUUAAGUCGAACAAUCAGAUCAAUUUUAAACAGAUUAAGGUGAAGAGGAAUUUGAUGGAAGAGAAAUCAUUAAAGGACGAUGGGGUUAUUAAAUAGAACAAAUGUAUAUAUUUUGCGGUUUGUGAUUUGGUAGGUUUGGAGAUGGGUGUUCAUAGGUGGGAAGUUGAACUCAAGGUGUUCAAUGUAAGUCCUAAACUAACUUUCUGCUUUUUAUUUUGGCUUAUUAAUGGUUAGAAAACUGAUUAAACUAAAAACCAAACCAAGUUUUGGUUAUUCGGUUCAGUUACACAAGUAUCCUAUUCGGUUUGGUUUUCGGUUAGGAACGAAUAAAAUCCAAAACGGAAAAAAGCGAACCAAAUAACCUGAAAAUUUUGAAAAAAGAAUUGACAAACACCUUAAUCCGUAAUCAAGGUGAGUUUUUUUGCCCGUUUCUAUUGUAGUUUCUAGCAAUUGAUUUCUUUUAAAAUAACGUUAUGAUUUUGCUUUCAGGUAUUGUUCCUUUCAUCUUAAUUGAAUGGGUACGAAUGUUGAAACAAUCAAAUAGAAUUGUGACAAGAAACAAUCAAACAAAAUCAGUUUUGGUGGGUCUUUAAUGUGUUGUCAAAAAGGCUUUUGGUCUUGGUGGCUGGCAUUGGUCUUCAUGGCUGGCAAUGGCUGGGUGUUCGCUAUUCUUUUGUUUUUCUUAUGUUUGUUUAAAUUUCAUAGUAAUUUAGGGGAAAAGGGGGAAAUAACAUGCCAAGAUGAUUAAAAUUGUAUAUCCAUAAGGCUGUCACAGUUUGAUUUUUUUUUAAUAAUGUUGUUAGUUCUAUGUAGGAACCGGAGGAAAAAAGCUUGAUACAAUAAGCUAACAAUUUAAAAGUUAGGUUUGAUAGGAUUUCUAUCAAGGAGGGAGUUGACCAUUUAGAUGGAGCUUGCGAUUAUAGUUACAACAGGACGAGGUAGCCGGAAGGGAUCUCCGUAUUGGCCCAAACAUAUGGCGAGCUAUCAAAAGAGGUGGAAGAGUUAAAGGAGAAUGACGAGAAUAGAGGCCAAUAUGCUACGUUUUGGAAUGAAUUUUGCAAAACGAUUAAACUUGGUAUCAUUGAGGAUGCAGUAACAGGAACCGUUAUUUGAGAUGUUGCUUCUGAAUGUAGCAAAUCACUAUCUUCAUAUCAUACUUCUAAUAUUAUGACUGCAAAAUAUUUUGCAAUACACCAUUGCUUUUUUCUGUAGGUUUUUGCACAUUUGUUGGUCGAUCCACAACAAGUAUUAGUGAUCUUUGUUACAAUUGCUUUGUGUCCUUAAUGGGUAAAAUGCGUCAAACAAAAACAAUAGCUACUAGGUAGUGGGUUGUUAACUGAAGCAACGGGUAGUGUAUGGAGACUGAAGAAAUCGAAUUCGGGGUUGUUUGGACACGAGCCAACGGCCGGUCAACUCUGGUCGAACAUAGUGGAGCGGGUCAAUGGGUCGUCAACAACACAGUUUACGCGGGGAAGGUUUCAAUUUACACAAUAAAUGCACAAAGAGUUGUUGAAGAAAGAAGCAACAUAAAAACAUGACGCUUUGGAGUAAACACACACAAUCAACUUCCCACUUAACUUGAAAACACAUAUGUUACAUUUCUUAAAGUUAUACAACGCGCUUUAGGUCCACUGUAGCAGGUGUUUGCGGAUGGAUGCCAUGUUACAAGGGAAACCAGAGACAAUAUAUUGUUUUUCAACCCGUGUACAAGGAAGUUUUUACUAGAAUUUGAAUGAUUUGUUACUUGUUUCUUUCAAAUGUAUGUGUUUUUAUACGAUACUAAAUUUCAAGAAAAAAUAAUUUGUUUUCUUUUUUGAAACCGCAUUUA